UACGAAGGGGGCUAGCGUUGCUCGGAAUCACUGGGCGUAAAGCGCACGUAGGCGGAUUGCUAAGUCAGGGGUGAAAUCCUGGAGCUCAACUCCAGAACUGCCCUUGAUACUGGCGGUCUCGAGUCCGGGAGAGGUGAGUGGAACUGCGAGUGUAGAGGUGAAAUUCGUAGAUAUUCGCAAGAACACCAGUGGCGAAGGCGGCUCACUGGCCCGGUACUGACGCUGAGGUGCGAA
rnacentral:rRNA from 1 species